rfam:Dipodomys ordii contig_14213, whole genome shotgun sequence.
GGUGGCUCAGUGGUAGAGCGCUUGCCUUGCAUACCAGAGGCCCUGGGUUCGAUUCCUCAGCACCA